rnacentral:lncRNA from 1 species
CCCGCGAUCCGUAGACCGACGCUCUACCUACUGAGCUAAGCGGGCGGGUUAUAAAAAGUAAAAACUUACCAGGAAAAAAGAAAAUAAGGAGAAAUUUUUUUGUCCCAGUGGGGCUAGAGCCUACGCCCCCUGAAAAAUUUCAGUCAAAGUAGGUUUAUUGUAGGAAAUGAAUACAGUCAAAACUGUGCUAAUGGCCACCUGUAAGUAGCGGCCACCUGUCGACAAUGGGCAACCAGAUUUCCCCCCGUCGAAAUAUAGUCAUAAAAAGGCCGUGAAUAAUGGCCACCUGCCGACCGCUGCCAGCCAAAGUCCUUCCCAUAGACGGUAAUUACUCUGAACAACUGUCAUUUUUUUCUUGCGUCGGCCGCUCACAAUUUUCCCGCUCAUGAUUUUCCCUAAUCGGCGGUCAAACUUCAAAGUCUUGAUAAAAAGGUGCUAAAUAGGCAACUGCCCCCCUUAUUAACGACAUAAAGAACAAUCAGUGUUAUUGAUUGUUUUUGAUCGAUUGUUGAACACGUUCUGCAAUCAUUGAUAUGGUUGAUAAUUGAGUUGUUUGUACAUUGUUAACCUGCUCUUGGUACACCUGCAGUUUUUCACACUUUUUAAUAUACGGUGAAGUGCUUGUAAUAAAUGAGCAAUUUCAUAAAAUAUAUUCAUUAUGUUAAUAUCUCUCAUUCGAAUUGUGUUCAAAAUACCAGUCAAACGUUACUAAAUUAAGUGCUUACUUAUCAUAGAAAAAUGUCGAAACAGAACUUUCUUACGUUAGAAAAACGCGUGGAAGUUAUAAGACUUAGUGAAAGUGGUAAAAGUGACAGGGCUAUUGCAGAACAAGUUGGUGUUGGCAGGACACAAAUUCAUGGGAUUCUGAAAUGGAAACGCGAAAUUAUGGACGAGUUUGAAAAUAAUGUUAACAUGGAGUAUAAAUGACCACGCCGGGCAACCACUUAUGAGGACAUUAAUGACUUGUGUUUGAAAUGGUUUAAUGAUGCCACUGGACAUAGAAUUAAUGCGUCAGGUCCGCUUAUCAAAGAAAGAGCACUGAAAUAUGCGCAGGAUUUAGGUGUAAAUGACUUUAAAGCAUCAAACGGAUGGCUGGAAAGUUUCCUUAAACGGAACAAUAUUGUGUUUAAGACAAUGUCUGGUGAGCGCAGUGAUGUAGACAAAACUGUUGUGCAAGACUGGAAAGACAAGUUACCAUCAUUGUGCGAAGGGUAUGAACCAGAAAACAUCAUUAAUAUGGACGAGACCGGCCUUUUCUAUCGGGAUUCGACUAAGUCCACGUAUUUCAAGAAAGGCGAGGAUUGCUCGGGCGGCAAACGGUCAAAAGAACGUUUGACUGUGGCCUUGUGUGCUAGCAUGACAGGUAAUGAUUUUUUCGUAAGUUAGAUUUGCUUCUCUUUUCAUUCGAUUAACGAAUUUCACUGAAAUUGUAAAUUGGAUAGUGUAUCACGCACAUCUAAGGGAAGUAAUCCAUGUUGCUUGUUGCGGAGUUAUUUCCGGUUGCAGAAAAUGACUGAUUUGACAUUCCCUUGAUAGAUAAUACAUAAGAAGGGGAAAAGAUCAAACCGUUGGUUAUCGGGAAGUCGAAAAAUCCAAGGUGUUUCAGUGGUAUCAAACAGGAUCGUCUGCCGGUAAUGUACAAAUCUAACAAGAAAGCCUGGAUGACUGGCGAAAUCUUUGAAGAAUGGCUACACUGGUUUGACAGACAAAUGAAAGGUAGAAAAGUGCUUCUUUUUGUGGACAAUGCAACAUCCCAUCCUCAGGUUAAUCUCAAAAAUGUCAAUGUUAAGUUCUUACCACCAAAUACAACAUCUCUAUGCCAACCAAUGGACCAAGGAAUAAUUCAGGCAAUGAAACUCAAGUACAGGAAGAAACAACUACAGUACGUGAUCAGCCAAAUGGAACUUAAGCAGGGAAAAAGUGGAUUUGAUCUGUUGAAAGAUAUAAGUGUGCUGGAUGCAAUUUACUGGGUUGCACGUGCAUUAAUUUAAAGAAGUUGAAAUAAGCACCAUUGUUAAGUGUUUCGCGAAGUGUGGAUUUCAGUUAAACAGUGUUGAAAGUGAAAGUGAAUGCACAGUGUUGAACGAUUCAGAGAGUGAUGAAGAGGAGGAUGAUAACUAUCCAAUAGCGCUUCAUGUAAUGGCUCGACAGUGAUUGUGAUUUUAUGGAAUUGUUGAAUAUUGACAAGGAGUUCAAAACAUGUGAUUCUGAAAUGAAGGACUGGGACAGGCCUGCUACUGAGUUGCUUUCGGAAAUGAAAGAGCAGGUCAGUGAUGAAACAUCUGACUGUGAGGAUGAUCAGCUUCAAGAACAAGAGGAUAAUGUUUGUUCUACAAAAUGAGUGCUUGGAAAUGAUUGAAAAACUUAAAAAGUAUGCAGUAGCCUAUGGAAAGGAAAAUCUUCUUGGUACAUUUGUUGAUGCCGAGGACAUUAUCACAAGCCAAAAACUUGUAGGGAACACUACAGGUAAGCAGAGUAAGAUCAGUGACUUCUUUGCCAAACGCUGAACAUUUCGGGUUACAUGUAUGUCAUAUGUGAAGGUCUUAAAAUUUGUGAGACUGUCACAUAGAAAAGAGAACAUAGGUAUGAUUUUGUUUGAUAGUUUCAUUUGUUCAGGUUGAACUGAUGUACUGUACUUGACAAGGGUUUAUGAAAAUUAAAUUUUCUGAGAAAUGCAUUUAACAUGUAAUAUAUAAACUCUUAGUCAUAUAUAUUAGAUAAAACAUAAUGAUGAAUGAUGAUGAUGACCAAGUUUGUGUGCUACCAUUACUUUUACUUACAACGAUUGUUAAUUUCAUGUUUUCAGUUUGUAUUGCUGUACUGAAGUUGAUAAAUGUAUAUGAAAAUAUGAAAAUUGAAUUAUCUGAGAAUACAUUUAACAUUUAAUGACAAA